AACUGGUCAGGAGUUGAUGACGCUCUCCUGAUGAGGCCACGAUAGGCCAAAACCAGUU
rnacentral:hammerhead_ribozyme from 1 species